rnacentral:lncRNA from 1 species
GGUGCUACUACAUGCAAUUAAAACAUAGGUAUGAAAAACAUGGUCAAAGUGAACUUGCCUGGUAAGUUGAUGAAGAUUAUAACGCUCUCAUAAUAAUGACUUGGUAGAACUAUUCGUCACUCCAUUGAAAAACUAUAUUAACAGACAUAGCAUUCAUAUAAGAAAACAUCCUAGCAAACAAUUCUAACACUCACAAUAAAAUUCAACAAAUAAGACACAAAAUAACAAGGGACACCAAAAUAAAAACCAAGGAAAACUAGUAAAAAAAACUCUAAGUCAUGACACACAAAUAGCUUUGUCCUAAGUAAAAUUUAACAACAAAGAAAAAAAAUAAACUAAUAAAAUAACAGAAAAAGAAAAUUAGGUUUUUAUUAAAAUAAUAGAAAGAAUUUUUCAUAAACUUUUAGUAGCAAAAAAAGAAACAAAUAAAAAGAUUUUAUAAAUCUCUAACUAUGACCUAUGCAAGUUUUCAUACAAAACUAAAGAAAAUAAAUUUUUUAAAUAAGAAAAAAUCUACAAUUUUAUAACAAAAAAAACUAAAUUUGUCAAAAGUGACAAAAAGAAAUAAAUAUAAAACAAUUAAAACUAUAAAGAAAAGACUAAAACAAAACUAGAACCAAAACAGUUCUGUUUUACCUAAAAUCCAAAUUUAAAAUAAACAAAAACUAAUUUGCAAAAGCCUGCUGUUUAGAAAAAAAAUCAAGUGAUCACUAGCAAAAAGAAUUAAUCGAAAAUCUAUUUUUAAGUUAUAGCAACCUAGUGUUUGUAACAAAUCUGUUUGAAUUCGAAAUUAAAAAAUCAAAAAUAUUUUCGUUUAUUUCUCUGGAUAGAUGGGAUUUUUAUGAAAUAGUAGAAAAAAGAAUCAUCAAAAUCGGAGUUGCAGAUCUAAAGAUAUAAAAAACAAAACCGAAACUGAAACUAAAAAUAGAAACGAAAAAAAAACAGAACGUGCACUAGCUACGUAGCGGGCUGUAACUGGGCCUACAGGGUGUGUGUUCUGUAAUUAAGCUACGCUCGGCCGUAUUAUAACUGAACCGCUAACACGUACAAAUAAAAGAAACCUGCAUGGCGAUUCGAUCUAACCGAAGAAAACCUUCUGCCAAAACAAACUGAUCUAAAAAACCAUUGUUUUUUUAACUGAACGAGGAUGUGAUCGUACACUUAUAGAGAACAAGGAGCGUUGGGGUGGCUCAAGUGUGGUGGUGGCGGAGGCUCUGGCGGUCGCGCGCGACGGAGAGAGUGUCGAGAGGAUGCACCGGUGAGUGGCUCGUCCGGUGGGGGAGUUGGAGAUGGUCAGCGAUGAUGAACGACGAUGGAACGAAGCGGUGAAGCUCGGUGCUCCGGGUGCUCCGGCGAAGACAACAAGAUUGGUACCGCUGCUGUAGAUGGAGAGGGAUCACAAGACCAUGUCAAACAGAGCCUAGAGGUUGAGAGAAGUCGGACCGAGAAGGAGGAUGUUCGGGGUGUCUCACCGGCGUCGGAAACUUGUGAUGAACUGCAGUGUCUGCGUCCAGAUUGGAACGAUGAUAGCGGACGAUAUGGUGGGUUUUGGCGAGGGGUUUCAAAGGGAAUCGGUCGAGGAAGGUCGUGGCUAUUUAUAGGACAUAUUUCUUGGGCCUGGGGUUGACUUGGGAUAGGGUUUCCAAAGAAAGCACAUGCGUAGCGGCAUCGGGUAUGUGUACGCGUACGUUUCUAGUCUGCUAGCGCUAGGUGUGAGAGAGGGGGGUCGGGCGUGGGGAGGGAGACAGCGGACGAGCGAAGGGAGUCGGUCGAGCGACGUGGAGGCGCUCUUUUUUUGGGGAACGUGGGCGCUGGGGCGCUGCUGCCUUGCACGUGGGGCCACGGCUAGCCUCGCUGCCUGGCGGCUGGCCUCUGGCCAUGCUGGGGCUGGGCCAGCUGGCCUGGCAGUGUCUUUUUUUAAUCCUUUUUUCUCUUUUUUGAAACAUUGAAGAACACAAAAAAAAACAACUCAAAAGUACAUUUUAUAAAGGCAUAAUAUAUAACAAAAAUUUUAGAAUAAAAUUUCCAAAAACAUGAAUAUAUUUUCAUGACCAAAUAAAAUACUAAAAAAACAUUUUUGCAAUAACUCCAAAAUGAAAUAGAAUUUGAGUUUCAAAUAAAUUGUCAAACCUUGUCUCUGAUUGUUGGAGUGUCAUAUUCCUCCUCUCGUAUUUUUUUAUCAGGGAAUUUUUGACAAGAUUCAACUUAAUUAUAGGGAUUCAAAAUAGAUUUUUUUUGGAAAGUCCUUUUAUUCCCUCUCAUUUGAAUUUUUUUGUUUCAAAUUUCACUCACUUUCAGUCAAUCAAACAAACAAACAAUCAAGCAUACAAUUAUAUUAUUUAAUUAAUGUAACAUUUCAAAAUUUAGAAUUUUGGGAUGUUACAAACCUACCACACUUAAAAUGAAUCCCGUCCUCGAGAUUCGAAGAGGCUAGCAAAAAAAUGUUCGGGUUUGGGGGUCUUCUAGCAAAUCCAUUGGUCGGAAAGGUCUAGGGUGCUACCAUACUUAAAAGCAGGGUUAUGAUUCCAACCAAACUCUUGUACUCCUUCCUUUGGAUUAGCAAGGCCGGUCUUCUCAGAUCUUCGGGAUAACUCCUACACUCGGCUCAGGAUCUUCUGGUAGGCGCAUAACCUUUUCCUCCAAUCUUUGAGUCCUUUCAUUCAUGGUGCGUUUCUUCUGAGACUUUGUCUUCUUGGCUGACAGGUCUGUCGCCAAUGCUAAACAACUACCGAAUCUCUUUUGGUGGUCCACAAUUAAUGGUUUCUCCUGCAGGAAAAAGGGUUCGGGUUGAAUCUCACCAUAUAACCUACGAUUGGCAACGGUUGCAUGUACAUGGAUCAAUCAUUCUACCAUUCUAAGGUUUAAAGAAGGUAUCGAUAUCGCCAUCUCUCUACGAUGGGCAAGUCACUACAGAUUUAUCGUCCCAAAUAGCAAGGGCGAAUGAUGAGAGUAAGUCGGUAUGGUGAUCAAUCCAUUCCGCACCCAAAUCAUUACCUUGUAUAAGUUUAACGAAUCUCACAUUUCUAACACUCGUGCAAUCUCACAAGCAAUCCAGAAUUUCUCUUGUCCUUGAACUGGGUUCGAGUAAAUCCAUGGGUUCUGCAAGCUGAACCAAACAUCUAUCGUUUCUUCCCAACACUCGGGUUUUCGUAUUCUCCUAAGAAACGUCUGCUGGUCAAAUCAUAACUUCUUCCAAUAUUUCUUCUUAGAGGGAGUUCUUGAUCCUUAUUAAUUUCCUGGGCCUGUGGGUUAUGGACCCACUUCAACACCUGCAUAGCUUUAACUCGUCCUGGAAGUUACAAUUGUUCCAUAUUCAGACAUUGCACCUACUAUAAUUCCAUGAGUACUUCCUUCCAUCAUAUCCAUCAUAUCCAAAGCAAAACUCCAACCUUUUUUUGUCCAAACUCCAAUCCAUGGAAUAUAUUUUCAUAUCCAUUGGUCUAGUGUUCUUCACAGGGUACUACCACUGAGGGAGUCCUGGAUUAGGGGGUGUUCGGCUGGCCGGACUAUACCUUCAGCCGGACUCUAGGACUAUGAAGAUACAAGAUUGAAGACUUCGUCCCAUGUCCGGAUGGGACUUUCCUUAGCGUGGAAGGCAAGCUUGGCGAUGCGGAUAUUCAAGAUCUCCUACCAUUGUAACCGACUUUGUGUAACCCUAACCCUCUCCGGUGUCUAUAUAAAUCGGAGGGUUUUAGUCCGUAGAACAAUUUCAUCAUACAACAAUCAUACCAUAGGCUAGCUUUUAGGGUUUAGCCUCCUUGAUCUCGUGGUAGAUCUACUCUUGUACUACCCAUAUCAUCAAUAUUAAUCAAGCAGGACGUAGGGUUUUACCUCCAUCAAGAGGGCCCAAACCUGGGUAAAACAUCGUGUUCCUUGCCUCCUGUUACCAUCCGGCCUAGACGCAUAGUUCGGGACCCCCUACCCGAGAUCCGCCGGUUUUGACACCGACAACCACCCUUAAAAUAAAAUUCAUCAAUCCAUCCAUAGACCAUAUUUCUCAUAUCCUCGAAACCGGUCCAAAAUCUUUGUUCAUGGAGUAAAAACUCAUAUAUUACAACAUAUGAAAUCAUAACACAUUAACUUUAUUGAUUCAUGAAUUCAUUACAAACUCUGAGGCUUCCAUUACAUAAUUCAACUCAUCGAACUUACGAAAAUAAAAUUGCUUUCUACCACUCUUAUUAUCCGUAUCAAAAUCUCAACGACUCAGCUCCAGCUUUCAUCUGUUCUAAACAUUCGCUAGAAAAAUGUCCUACUUCCUUGCAGCAAAAACAAUUGACUUCUGACAUGUCUCAUGGCUUCUUGGGAAUGGUGUCUACUCUCUGGGCUCUUGGCUUCGUCUCGGGACAUUUAUUAGCGUAAUGACCUAAAUCCUUGCACCUGUAACAAGUGAUCUGACUCGGGUCCUUUCCUGCAGAAAUUGGGGUGUUCUGGGUAUGCCUUCAUUUUCUCUUACUGUAUUUCUCCGUACUGAUCAGAGCUUCUAUUUACUGAGGGUCAAACUUCAUUUCUGCUGUCCGAAAGUCUCCAUGAUACUUUUCUCUUUCAUUUGUGCAAUACUAGGAAUAAUGUCCUUCUUCUCCACAAGAAUAACAGGCAUGAGCCUAAAAUCUGUUUAGGCCUUCUCCAUCAGGGUCUUCAUUAACUUCCUUCAUCAUGCAUCCUUCUAAAAUUUCCCCAAGGGCUUCUUUUCGCUGCUUGGUUAAUUCUUGUACCUUGGGGUAAAUGUGACAUUGAGCCGGGUAGUGCGUAGUUCCUUCACACAGGAAACAAGUCACCUGCCUAGUUGGGCAUUCUUCCUGUGGGUGAUUUUCCUCACAAUAAGGGCAACCAUCCUUGUGUUUUUCAUUGGUGUGUCCCAUUUCUCUGCAAAUCUUGCAGGCACGUGGUUUCUUCUUCGGGUUAUCAUAGUGCUUCCGAAUGAGACAUGAUCUCAAUAGGGUCUUCUUGAAUUCCUCCCAGGUUCUUGCUCCGUUACAUCCUUGUAUGGCUUGAUGCAUUUUCCACCAGGUUGCAGCACUUUCUGUAAAGUACCGAAGAGCAUAUUGAACCUCGUACUUCCUUGCAAUCAAAUUUUUCCCGAAGUGAUCCUCCAUGUUUUGAAUCCAUAGCUCUGCCUCCAACUGAGUCGUCGGUCCAGAGAAUACUAGUCCAUCUUCCUUCCUCAUCUAUUGGGUCCGGGUUUUGGGAUGAGAUACGAGAGAAGAAAUAGAAGGAUAUACACACAAUACAAACAAUAGUUUUGAAGAAACGGGUUUUAUGUUGUGGCUGUCAGAAAAACAUCAAAUAAAUGAUAGCUCACAAAUCAUCGCAUCUAACGUAAGUAUAUAACAGGGUUUUGGUCUUCUAAGGGUCAAUUAAAUCUUUGGAGUUUUCAAAUUCCUCAAGUCUUCGGAGUCUUCUGUUGUUGCAGCUGCAAUUCUUCCAACGCAUGGUGAAAUCCCCUUUACUCUGAAAUAGCCAUCCGUUGUCCGAUAUCUUGUACUUCUUGGAGUGACUUCAAUUGAUCCUCCGUGUGGUCAAAAGUGACAAGGGUAUAUUCUAACUAUUUGAGGUAAGAGAGAAUAUAUGAUAAAAAUCAAAAAAGACGAGAAGUAAAGGGUCUUUUUGAAAAUAAAGUUGUAGAGAUAUCCUGUACUAGGGCUUUCUGAUUUCUAGGGUCACGUUCUACAGUCAACAUGUGCUCUGAUACCAUAUCUGUAGCGACCCGACCUCAAACGGUCAAGUCUCUGUGCAUUAGUGCCAUCCCUGGAUCAUUAUGCGAGCACACAUAGUACAUCAAUGUAUAUAUCAAAGUGCAAUCACAUGUAUAAAUAACAUAAAGCUUAUAUAUACCUCAUAAGUCUCAGCGGAAACAAACAACCGGAUGUGGAGUCCCAUCAAUGUCGUCGGCAGGUUGAAUGUAGACCGCAACCCAACAACGGAACUCACCUGUCAUAGGAAAUAAUCCUGCAACAUGAUAUGUUGUAGCCGUGUAGGUCAGUAUAUUGAAUAUACCGGCAAGAUCACAACAGAGAAAGCAUAUGAUAAUACCUAUUCUAUAUGCAAUAUGGCUUUCUGGAUCUGUGUCUGAGGUUUUUGCGUAAAAGUUAAUUUUAUUUUCCCUACAACAAAGGAAUAUCAUGAGCCUGUAUUACGGAGUUUUAUAUCAUGACAUGGUUCCGCCAACGGAUGUCUCAUAGCCCAUAUCAUCGUAAUGUUGCCCACAAUUAAGUUAUCAAUCCGGUGUUGAGAGUUCCGAGAUAGAUCCAAGUCCAGAUGCUCAUAUUGUCCGUAACCUGGGACACGACUAAUCGAUUAUAUUUUAACCCUCUACAGAGGUUUGUACACUUUACCCGCAAGAUUCGAUCCCUAUUUUUACGUUCUCGCACUUCAGGGUGUUUGAGAACAAGACAACUGAAACAUGGUCUUCCAAAGAGUUCCCUUGACCACUGUCUAGUGCUCAUCCAAUCCUAUCGUAGUUCUACAUCUGCUAGCACCGUCCCAGCCAGAGUCACCACUAGGGUCAACCAAGCCAGAGCCCAUAGUGACUUGCAGUUGAACAGGUAAGCUUUCAGGCAUGAAGUAUUCUUUCAUCUCUUUGAGUGUGGGUGAAGCUUUUCGUAAGAUGUCAUGGCGCUUCUCCAUGCAUCCCAGCCAUCCACUGGUUGCUCUAGGGUGCCCAUCAAAUCCGUCCUUCACCCAGUAGUGUGUAUUGAAUUCUUGUCUCGAGUCUUGAAGUCUUGAGGUCCUGAAGAUGCAAUCCUUGCAGAUGCCAUCAUGAAGUUAUCAUCAUUGACGUAGAGUCCUCCUUUCUCACACCACUCUCGAGCACUCAUACCAACCCUGUCUACUAUAGCGUAGCAUUCAAACUAAACAACGUCCCAGGCUUGAUAACUGGGAGAUGGGUUCCUACCUCAUGCAUUCUACUCAACUACGAGAUUCAAUAACACUACUGGAGGGAUUGUUGAAAGGGUGCUACUACAUGCAAAUAAAACAUAGGUAUGAAAAACAUGGUCAAAGUGAACUUGCCUGGUAAGUUGAUGAAGAUUAUAGAGCUCUCAUAAUAAUGACUUGGUAGAACUAUUCGUCACUCCAUUGAAAAUCUAUAUUAACAGACAUAGCAUUCAUAUAAGCAAACAUCCUAGCAAACAAUUCUAACACUCACAAUAAAAAUCAACAAAUAAGACACAAAUCAACAUGGGACACCGAAAUAAAAACCAAGGAAAACUAGUAAAGAAAACUCUAAGUCAUGACACACAAAUAGCUUUGUCCUAAGUAAAAUUUAACAACAAAGAAAAAACUAAACUAAUAGAAUAACAGAAGAAAAAUAGGUUUUCAUUAAAAUAACAGAAAGAAUUUUUCAUAAACUUUUAGUAGCAAAAAGAAACAAAUAAAAAGAUUGUAUAAAACUCUAACUACGACCUAUGCAAGUUUUCAUACAAAACUAAAGAAAAUAAAAUUUUAAAAUAAGAAAAAACAAAUCUACUGUUUUAUAACAAAAAAAACUAAAUUUUUCAAAAGUGACAAAAAAUAAAUUAAAAAUAAUUAAAACUAUAAAGAAAAGACUGAAACAAAACUAGAACCAAAACAGUACUGUUUUGCCUAAAAUCCAAAUUUAAAAUAAGCAAAAACUAAUUUGCAAAAUCCUACUGUUUAGAAAAAAUCAAGUGAUCACUAGCAAAAAGAAUUAAUCAAAAAGCUAUUUUUAAAUAAAAGUUAUAGCAAUCUAUUUUUUGUAACAAAUUUGUUUGAAUUCUAAAUUAAAAAAAUUCGAAAAUAUUUUCGUUGGUUUCUUUGGAUAGAUGGGAUUUUGAUGAAACAGUAGAAAAAAGAAUCAUCAAAAUCGAAGUUGUAGAUCUAAAGAUAUAACAAAAACAAAACCGAAUCUGAAACUAAAAACAGAAACGGAAAAAAACAGAGCGUGCGCUAGCUACGUAGCGGGUUGUAUCUGGGCCUACGGGGUGUUCGUUCUGUAACUAAGCUUCGCUUGGCCGUUUUAUAACUGAACCGCUAACACGCGUACAAAUAAAAGAAACCUGCAUACCGGGUCGAUCUAACCGGAGAAAACCGUCUACCAAAACAAACCGAUCUACAAAACCGUUUUUUUAAUUGAACGAGGAUGUGAUCGUACACUUAUAGAGAAGAACGUGGAGCGUUGGGGUGGCUCGGGCAUGGUGGUGGCGGAGGCUCCGGCGGUCGUGCGCGACGGCGAGAGUGUCUAGAGGAUGCACCAGUGAGUGGCUCCUCCGGUGGUGGAGUUGGAGAUGGUCGGCAAUGACGAACGGUGACGGAACGAAGCGGUGAAGCUCGUUGCUCUGGUGAAGACAACAUGAUUGGUAGCUUCUGUAGAUGGAGAGGGAUCACAAGACCAUGUCAAAUAGAGCCUAGGGGUCGGGAGAAGUCGAAACUAAGAAGUAGAAUGUUGGGGUGUGUCCCGGCGUCGGAAACUUGCGAUGAAUUGCAGCGUCUACGUCCAGAUUGGAACGAUGAUAAUAGAUGAUAUGGUGGGUUUUGGUGAGGGGUUUCAAAGGGAAUCGGUCGAGGAAGGUCGUGGCUAUUUAUAGGACAUAUUUGUUGGGCCUAGGGUUGACUUGGGAUAGGGUUUCCAAAGAAAGCGGACGCGGAGCAGCGUCGGGUACGUGUACACACGUUUCUAGUCUGGUACGUGAGGAAGAAGAAAGAAGAGGUGGGGCCAAGUGCCAGGUGUGAGAGAAAGGGGUCGGGCGUGGGGAGGGAGACAGCGGAUGGGCAUUUCCUAUUUGGCGCUGCAGGCGCCCGUUACAGUGCAAUUUGCAAACGGGCGCCUGCAGCCGAGUUAGAUGGGCUUGGCCCAUUUUGCCUUUUUUCUUCUUCUCUUUUUAGAGAAAAAAAGAAGUGCAUGUACGAGGGAUCCAACAUAUCUAUAAUUUUUGAUCGUUCCAUGUUGUUAUAUUCUCAUUCUUGGAUGUUUUUCAAUCAUUUUAUAGCAACUUUAUAUCAUUUUUUGGGACUAACCUAUUGACAUAGUGCCGAAUGCAAGUUGCUGUUUUUUGCUUGUUUUUUACUUCGUGCUAACCAGAGUCCAAACGCAACGAAACUUUUGGAGAAUUGUUCUGGGCCAGAAGACACACAUUGGGCCAAAGAAGUACCAGAUGGGUGCCCUGAGGGGGGCACAACCCACCUAGGCGCGCCUGGGGGCACAACCCACCUGGGGGCCCAGGCGCGCCCUGGUGGGUUGUGCCCACCUCGGUGGCCUCCCGCACCGCCUAUUUGCUCUAUAAAUACCCCAAUAUUCCAGAAAUCCUAGGGGAGUCGACGGAAAUCAAUUCUAGCCACUACAAGUUCCAGAAACCAUAGAUCCAAUCUAGACACCAUCAUGGAGGAGUCCAUCAUCCUCAUUGGUGCCUCUCCGAUGAUGCGUGAAUAGUCCAUUGUAGACCUACGGGUCCAUAGUUAGUAGCUAGAUGGCUUCCUCUCUCUCUCUUUUGAUUCUCAAUAAAAUAGUCUCUUGGAGAUCUAUUUGAUGUAACUCUUUUUGCGGCGUGUUUGUUGGGAUCCGAUGAACUUUGAGUUUAUGACCAGAUCUAUGUUUUUACCCAUGAAAGUUAUUUGAGUCUUUUGAUCUCUUAUAUGCAUGAUUACUUAUACCUGAUAUUUGUUCUUCGAAUAUUUGGUUUAUUAGGCCGACUAGAUCGAUUUUUCUUGCCAUGGGAAGAGGUGCUUUGUGAUGGGUUCGAUCUUACGGUGCUCGAUCCAGUGACAGAAGGGGAAACGACAUGUAUGUAUCAUUGCUAUUAAGGAUAACAAGAUGGGGUCUAUUCCUACAUGAAUAGAUCUUGUCUACAUCUUGUCAUCAUUCUUAUUGCAUUACUCCGUUUCUCCAUGAACUUAAUACACUAGAUGCAUGCUGGAUAGAGGUCGAUGUGUGGAGUAAUAGUAGUAAUGCAGGCAGGAGUCGGUCUACUAAUCCUGGACAUGAUGCCGAUAUAAUGAUCAUUGCCUGGAUAUCGUCAUGAUUAUUUGAAGUUCUAUCAAUUGUCCAACAGUAAUUCGUUUACCCACCGUAUGCUAUUUUUCUCGAGAGAAGCCACUAGUGAAAUCUACGGCCCCCGGGUCUCUUCUUUAUUAUAUUUGCCAUCGAGAUCUAUUUUUGUCUGCUUUUAAUUUCAGAUCUAUUAAUCCAAAACCCCAAAAAUACCUUGCUGCAAUUUUUAUUUAUUUAUUUUAUCUCGCGUUCCCACGAGAUUUAUUUAUCCAAUCUACUAAAAAAAUUACCUAUCUUUUACCCGGGAGGGAUUGACAACCCCUUUUCUAUGUCGGGUUGCAACUAUUUGUUCUUUGUGUGCAGGUGUCGUUCACGUAGUGUUGCGUGGUUCUCCUACUGGUUCGAUAAGGCCAACUCCACCGUGCGACCCCAAACGGACGUCUGUUUUGUCCGGAUUCUGUCUGUUUGGGUAGGGCAACGGGGUCGUGUCCGGGCGUGUCCUGGGAUGCGGUGGUCGUGCACCCAGCGUGCGGCCGCAUCCGUUUGCCCCAUCCUGUCCGCGUCUAUAUUAAAAAAAGGAACAACUUUGAAAUUCCAAGCCCUAGUUCAUCAGGCCAGCGGCCCAGUUCAUCACGCCGGCAACAGAGCCAGCGGCCUACACGUCCAUCGCCAGCAUCAGCCAGCGGCCGGCAACACAGCCAGCCUCCAAAAUGAAUAGUUGUCCUCACCGGCAACACAGUCAGCGGCCGGCAACACAGCCGGCCUCCAAAUUGAAUGUUUUUCUCGCCGGCACACUACCAGCGGCCCAGCAGGCGGGCGACACCCAUGCCAACCUCCAAAAAAGAACGUCCAUGGCCGAUCGGACGACCUAGUUCAGGCCUUCGACGUCGAGCAUCUCCUUCUGCCCGACCUUGAACCACGACCUCGUCUUCCCUCUCAUCUUCGACAAGUCCACGCUCAUGAUUGCAAGGGCCACCUCCUUCGCUUUGGUGGCGGCAUUGGUGGCCUCGAUGUCGAGUUGCGUCUGCCUGGCCUUGAUGUUGUCGGCCUCGAUGUCGAGCUGCCUUUGCCGGGUCGCCUCCUCCAUGUCGAGCUGCCUUUGCCAGGCUGCCUCCUCCAUGUCGAUCUUCCUCCUCUUGGCCGCCUCCUCCAUCUCAAGCUUCUUUCUUUGAAGGGGUAUUGCUUCAUUUGCUCGUCCUUACUUUGCCGCUUCUUCUCGUCCCUCACAUCCUUUUGAGACAUCAUGCCAUGCAAAGUGUCAUGCAAUGCCAUGGAUGAGGCAUCAUGUAUGUUGUCAACCUUAGAGUUGGUCUUGCCCCUUGGCCUCUUCAACGCUUCGCCAUCUCCACCUCCGGCGAACUUGGCCGUCUUCAGUCCUCUCUUCCUUUGUAGUUCAUGGUAUUGGUCCUUCAACUUAGGGCAAUUGUUGAUGAUCGUCGAACAAUGCGUAAGAGUGAAUGGCGUGUCAUUGUGCCAGGCCUUGAAUGCCUCCAAAGAUUGAAAUGCCUACACGACAUGAUCAACAACAAGUGAACAUGAAAACAUAUACAUGGUCCGCAACGUCGGCGACUGGCAGUGCGGAGGCCGGGCGACCGACGAGCCUGUGCUUGCUGCGCCGACGGCCGCUGCAGGGAAUCCGGUCGGACGGCCCAUGCCAAGCAUGAGGAGGGCGUGCGCUUUGUUGACAAGGUCCUCCUUCUCGUCCACCGCGGCCUUGCGUCGCGCGGCCUCCAUCGCAUCACGCUGGGCGGCGAACUUGGCCGCGGCGGCAUUGACCUUGACGACCGCUCUCCCUUCCCUCCUCUUCGCUGAUUUCGCGUCCAACUUGGCGAUCUCCUCCAGCGUGCACUCCGACUGCGGCUUCCUUGGCGCCUUGGCCGCCUUCUUCUUCACCUUUGUGGGCGGGUCGACGGCCAGGCCGCCAGAAUUCGGCGGGGCGUCGGCCAUGGACGGGGUAGAGAGGGGGCGGCGGGAGGGACGUGGGAGGGUUUGGGGAAAUGGUGCCAAAUGGGGUGUGGGGGGGUUGGUUUCUCCCACCGACAGGCGGGCCAGAGGAGGACAAGCGCGCGCGUCCCGCCCGUCCACGCGCUGUCUGUUUCACCCCAAAACCGGCACAAACUUGGGCCGGGGAUGGGUCGAAAGCGGACACAAAGCGGACAAAAGUCUGUUUGCGCCCGCGCGCUGGGCCGUCUGGUCUGUCCGUUUUACCCCCAAACGAACAGGGGCAGACAAGAUAGGGUCGCGCGGUGGAGUUGGCCUAACCUUGGUCUCAUCAUUGAGGGAAAUACCUACUGUAGUUGAGUUGCAUCAUCCCUUCCUCUUUGGGGAAAUACCGACAUAGUUCAAGCUGCAUCAAAAGGAAUUUCUGGUGCCAUUGCCGGGGAGACAUCAUAAACAUCUAUCAGGUUCCUAAUCACAAAUCUCAUCUCCUUGCAAUUUACAUUAUUUUCCAUUUGCCUCUCAUUUUCAUCUCUCCCACUUCACAAAAACUUGCCUUUUUAUUUUCCCUCUUUUUCUCUUGCCCUUUUCUCGUUGGAUCUUAUGUUUGCUUGUGUUGCCAUGUGCUUUAUAUUUGCUUGCAUAUUCGCUUGCUAAAAAUCUAUUGAUAUGGAUCCUCGUCCACUUGCUAAUCUUUUUAAAAGAUCCAAUUAUGAUGAACAAAUUACUAGUGAUUUGAGUGCACUAUAUUAUCUUUAUGAAGUUUUGCUUGAAAUUCAUGAAUCUGGAAAUUGUGAUGAAGUGUUAAAAGAAGAAAUUGACAAAGUGGUUCGCGAUAGCUCCUUGAAUGAAAAGCAUGAUUGCAAUGAUAUUAUUAUAAAUUCUAUUAAUGUCAAUUGUGUUAAUAAUAUGCAAAACCCCAAGCUUGGGGAUGUUAAUUUUGCUAUGUCCACUACUUAUUGUAAUGGUCAUGAUUGGGGUGAUUCUUCUUAUGAUCUUGAAAAUUUAAUUAAACCUCAUGAUGAAUAUGAUAUUGAUAAUAGUGUUUGCAAUAAUACUGAAAGUGGGUUUGGAAGAGUGUCAACUCUAGGUACUAAUGAUCCCACUACUUUGGAGAAUGAUCAAUCUUAUGAUUUUUUUUAUAAAAGUGGGCUUGGAGAGGUCAUUACUUUAUUUUAUGAUAAUCCCACUAUUUUGGAAGAGUGUCAACUUUGCAUGCAUGUGGAUCAUGAAGAUAAUAUUUUAUGUGAUAGUUAUAUUGUUGAAUUUGAAUAUGAUCCCACAUGUAAUUAGAGAGAGGAAAAUAUGGUUGUAUGAAUUUUCAUGGUAUUAAAUUUCCUCUCGUUAUGUUGAGAUUGUCAAUGUUUUAUUCCUUUCCUUUGCACAUGCUAAAUAUUUCUUGUCUUGAUAAUUUGUUUGCUUAUAAAAUUCCUAUGCAUAGGAAGUAUUUUAGACUUAAAUGUGUUCAUCACAUGCUAUAUGAUGCUCUCUUUGUGCUUCAAUUUUCUCUCUUUCAUGUGAGCAUCAUUAAAAUUAUUAUGCCUAGCUAGGGGCAUAAAACGAUAGUGCUUGUUGGGAGGCAACCCAAUGAAUAAAAUUUAUUUUUUUAUUUUUAUUUCUAUUCUUGAGUGUUUGCACAAUUAUUCUACUAUUAUGAUUGUGUUUUUUUAUGUUUUAAUUAGUGUUUGUGCCAAGCAAAGCCUUUGGGAUCAUGUUGGGUGAUAGUUAAUUUGAUCUUGAUGAAAAACAGAAACUUUUGCGCCCAGGAAAAUAAUUCUCAUUUUUAACAGAAGCACGAUAAAAUACAGAUUCUUUUCGCAGAAGAUUAAUAUACAAAUUUCCACGUUGUCCUAACUUUUCAGAAUAUUUGGUGUUACAGAAGUAUGCAAAGUAUUCAGAUUGCUACAGACUGUUCUGUUUUUGAUAGAUUCCGUUUUCUUUGUGUUGUGUGCUUAUUUUGAUGAAUCUAUGGUUUGUAUUGGAGGGUAUAAGCUAUAGCAGAGUUGGAAUAUAGUAGAUAUAAUGCAAAAAUAAAAUAUGAAUGGGUUUGCAACAAUACUUAUAGUAGUGAUUUUCUAUGUUAUACUAAUGGAUCUCAUGAAGGUUUUGUUUAGUUUUGUGUGAUUGAAGUUUUCAAGUUUUGGGUGAGAUCACGACGGAAGAAGGAAUAAGGAGUAAGAAGAGCCGAAGCUUGGGUAUGCCCCAUGGCAUCCCAUGCCAUUAUCUAAAAGAGAAGCAAGCAACUAAGCCUAGGGAUGCCCGAGUGGCAUCCCCUGUUUCUUCUAACGACCAUUGGAAUUUUACUUGGAGCUAUAUUUUUAUUCGUCACAUAUCAUGAGCUUUUCUUGGAGUGUCUUGUAUGAUAUGAGUCUUUGCUUGUUUUGAUUUUUAUUUUUAGUCAUCUAUCCUUGCUCUCAUGCUUCACUUUGAUUUAUUUGAGAGUUGGUAAUUUUUUUUAGAAAUUUUCUCUCAUGCUUCACUUAAAUUAUUUUGAGAGAAGAAAUUUUUUUAUGCUCAUGUUCUUCACUUCUAUUUGUUUGAGCUUUCAAAAGCAACUUAUGAAAACUAGUCCCAAAGUUGAUAGAUAUUCAAGAGGGAUAUAAUAGAAACUUACACGAAGAUCAUUGGACAAAAUAAACU